rnacentral:lncRNA from 1 species
UUUUUUUUUUUGCUUUUUAGGGGCCAUGUCUGUGGCACAUGGAAGUUCCUGGGCUACAGGUCAAAUUGGAGCUACAGCUGCAGGCCUAUGCCACAGCCACAGCAACACCAGAUACAAACUGUGUCUGCAAUCUACACCGCCACUCACAACAACGCUGGAUCCUUUUUUUUUUUUGUCUUUUCUAGAGCCACACUCAGCAUAUGGAGCGGCCCUAGAAAAGGCAAAAAGGAAAAAACAAAAAAAACAAAAAAACACACUGGUUAGGACAUGCUGCCUAGACAACCAUCUAGAGACUAGCAGAACACCCAACAAGGGGGUCUGGCCCUGAAGCACAGCGCAGUGCUGUAGAAAGGGGUCUGCAGCCUCCUUCCAAAGGCCGAGUACAGUCCAGGACCGUGCACCUUGGGUCUGGGGGUACCAGGUAAACUGUAGACUUGUUGAUUUUUUUUUUUUUUCAGUUAAUUCAGUCUCUCUUGUAGGCUGCUGAAUGUGGUGUGCAGCGGCGGCCUGUCCAACAAAGUAGAUCUUUCCAGACACAAGAAGAGAAAUAAAGCCAGGGAAAGAACACUGACUGACCACGAGCUCUGCCCCAUCCCUGACCUCCACUGAAUAAGGUGGGCCCUAGUAAUGGGGGCUUCCAAUGCUGAUCCUCUGAGUACUUGAAGGUUUGUCAUUUGAUGUUCUAGAACUUAAUGUUUCUUCCAAUAAAAAAAGAACAACUCUCCUUAUGUUAUCUUGCCAUCUUAAAGGAAUGCGAUGCAGUUGGGAAGAAUAAUUCCACGGACAGCAUUUUCAAGGGAAGAAAAAUGUUUAUAAGUAGGACAAUGUUAAAAACGAUUUAAGGAGUUCCCAUUGUGGCACAGCAGAAACUAAUCCAACUGGUAUCCAUGAGGAUGUGGAUUCAAUCCCUGGCCUUGCUCAUUGGGUUAAGGAUCUGGUGUUGCUGUGAGCUGUGGUGUAGGUCGCAGACAUUGCUCGGAUCCCUUGUUGCUAUGGCUCUGGUGUAGGCCAGCAGCUGUAGCUCAGAUUCGACCCCUAGCCUGGGAACUUCCUAGUAUAAUCUGUUUUACAUAUUCUUUUUAGACUUAUUCUUAAUUUUCAAACAGAAUUCAAAGCCAAUAUAUUUGCACACUUUUUUUGACAAAGCAAACUUUUUUUCUUGCCAAAAAAACUUUUGAACUACUAAGAGGCAGCAGUGUGACAAGUAAGAGCCUGGGUUUGGCUCUAGUCAAAACUGUAUACUCUUGGGAAAUUAUUUAACUUCUCUGGGCCUCAAUUCUUUAUCUCAACUCAGUACU